UACGUAGGGGGCAAGCGCUGUCCGGAUUUAUUGGGCGGAAAGAGCGUGUAGGCGGCUUUACAGGUCCGUUGUGAAAACUCGAGGCUCAACCUCGAGACGCCGGUGGAAACCGUAAGGCUAGAGUCCGGAAGAGGAGAGUGGAAUUCCUGGUGUAGCGGUGAAAUGCGCAGAUAUCAGGAGGAACACCCGUGGCGAAAGCGGCUCUCUGGGACGGUACUGACGCUGAGACGCGAAAGCUAGGGGAGCAAACGGG
rnacentral:rRNA from 1 species